UACGAAGGGGGCUAGCGUUGUUCGGAUUUACUGGGCGUAAAGCGCACGUAGGCGGAUUCUUAAGUCAGGGGUGAAAUCCUGGAGCUCAACUCCAGAACUGCCUUUGAUACUGAAGAUCUUGAGUUCGGGAGAGGUGAGUGGAACUGCGAGUGUAGAGGUGAAAUUCGUAGAUAUUCGCAAGAACACCAGUGGCGAAGGCGGCUCACUGGCCCGAUACUGACGCUGAGGCACGAAAGCGUGGGGAGCAAACAGG
rnacentral:rRNA from 1 species